UGGGAGGUGAUGCCAACAUUCUCAAGUCUCGCCUAAGGUUUUCUGAUUCUAAAUCUGUUCUUUCGGGCUUCCCAGGUGGCAAAAACCACCUGCCAAGGCAGGGGACAUGGGUUCAAGCCCUGGUCUGGGAAGAUCCCACAUGCAGCAAAGCUACUAAGCCCCAUUGCCACAACUCCUGAGCCUGUGCUCUAUAGCCCGCCAGCCACAGCUAUUGAGCCUAUGUGCCACAACUACUGAAGCCCACGCACCGCAACAAGAGAAGCCAUGACAAUGAGAAGCCCACACACCAAGGGACAUAGAAGAUCGUUGAUUGAGAGGAGAAACUGGAGCCCCUAAGGAAAAGGAUCUUGCCAAAAGACACACAAUAGAUCCCAGCAAAACUUGUACUGCCUCAUCUACUGAGUAGAGGCUGGAUCCAUAGGGCAGAGCCACCAUGGACCCAGAUCUUAGUUCCCAGGCCAGGGAUCCAACCUGUGCCCCCUGCAGUGGGAAUUGCAGAGUCUUAACCAUUGCGCCACCAGGGAAGUAAGAGCUUAGACUACCAAUUUUACACUUUUCCUAU